rnacentral:rRNA from 1 species
UACGAAGGGGGCUAGCGUUGCUCGGAAUCACCGGGCGUAAAGGGUGCGUAGGCGGGUCUUUAAGUCAGGGGUGAAAUCCUGGAGCUCAACUCCAGAACUGCCUUUGAUACUGAAGAUCUUGAGUUCGGGAGAGGUGAGUGGAACUGCGAGUGUAGAGGUGAAAUUCGUAGAUAUUCGCAAGAACACCAGUGGCGAAGGCGACAUACUGGUCCGUUACUGACGCUGAGGCUCGAAAGCGUGGGGAGCAAACAGG